AUUGAACGCUGGCGGCAUGCUUUACACAUGCAAGUCGAACGGUAACAGCACUUCGGUGGCUGACGAGUGGCGAACGGGUGAGUAAUACAUCGGAACGUGCCUAGUAGUGGGGGAUGACUACUCGAAAGAGUAGCUAAUACCGCAUGAGAUCUAAGGAUGAAAGCAGGGGACCUUCGGGCCUUGCGCUACUAGAGCGGCUGAUGGCAGAUUAGGUAGUUGGUGGGAUAAAAGCUUACCAAGCCGACGAUCUGUAGCUGGUCUGAGAGGACGACCAGCCACACUGGGACUGAGACACGGCCCAGACUCCUACGGGAGGCAGCAGUGGGGAAUUUUGGACAAUGGGCGCAAGCCUGAUCCAGCAAUGCCGCGUGCAGGAUGAAGGCCUUCGGGUUGUAAACUGCUUUUGUACGGAACGAAAAGCCCUCUUCUAAUACAGGAGGGUCAUGACGGUACCGUAAGAAUAAGCACCGGCUAACUACGUG
rnacentral:rRNA from 1 species